rnacentral:lncRNA from 1 species
GAAAAUCAGGAUAGAGGAAAUAUAUCAAAGCAUAAAUUAAAACUUUCAAAGAUGAAAAUAUAAAACUAAUUAUCUUGGUUAAGAAAAAAUUAAAUCUUUUGCUUAGUCUGGCCAAUUAAUGUUAAUGUGUAGAUAUCAAGUUAACAAGUACAUUAAAUAGCAAUGGGACAAAUGAAGAGAGGAGCCUUAAUGUGCACAGACAAUUGCUGAGUCAACCAAAGUUCCUAAAGGCUCGGCUGCAAGUCUGGAAACAUAAACACUGAUGUCUAAAAUAGAAAUUUUUUUUUUUUCCCUCCUUCUCCAUUUUGUGUUUUACCACAGAACCAAACAAAAAAAGGCUGCAGGUAAUGAUCAUGGAGUGCUUGAAGGGCAUCUGUCUGCCCUCAUCACAAAGUGAAGGUAUGCCAGACACUUUUAGCUGCAAAACAUACAUGCAGAAAUCACUGUGUGAUUCAGCUGUGAGGAGUAAGUGAUCUGAUCAAUAUUUUCUGUAUCUCUUGCUCACAAUAAUUAUUUGUACUUAAAAGAAGGGAUAAUGUUUUGGCACCCACAUUUGAGGAAUAGUUGGUUUGGGUUUUUUUUUUUUUUUUUCCCCUUAGAUGCAGAGCAGAACUCAGAAUUCUUAUGGCAAAAAGAGGCCAAAGAGCAGAUGAGUGAGCAGAAUGGUUCAAGGAGGAGCAGAUGGAAACAGCUGCCAACAGAUGAGUACUGGAAUGGAUUCAAGCCACACUGCUUGCUGGAACUUGAGAAUUUUUGAUGGCCUGAGCAUUCCCAACCACAGUGUAUGGGCCUCCAGGUGCUGUCUGAAGACUGUGAAUAUUUUUGCUGUUUCUGCAUCAACAAGCCUUACAUUAUGGAAAGAUGAUAAAAUAGAACAUGGAGUUCACCAAGCAAUGAUUUCAGGAAGAAAUGUAGUUAAAUUUUUUCCCAGCAGAUGUGGCUGUUGGACCAGAAAAGGCUCAAGGUCAGUUCAGGUGGGUUAGGGAAAACUGUGGAGACUGGGGGCACCCCUUUUACUGCCAUGGAUAUGCAGCACUAGGUGGUAGCUGUGCUGAGACUCCCAACAAAAAAAACCCCCAACAUUCCAAUGAAAAUUGCAACCUCCCUCAAUCAUGUGAUUAAGUGGUUAUUGUCUGUUAGAGUUUUUAGUCAUUUUUUAAUAAAUAGGUACAGUAUUUGCCUUGCUAUUGAUAAAUGUGAGGUUAUACAUUGAGUAUUACAUAAAAUAGCACACUUGUUGAUGUUGCUAAGAUGCCUGUAGAUGAUAAAAAGUUAUUAGUAUUGUAACAACAAAAUGUGAGUUCUGUGCCAUGUUGACUGUAUUAUUGGGAAACCCCUGAGGUUUUCCAUCACCCCACGGUUACAGGAUAGAUCAGUUUUCACCAUUAGCUUACAAUGUUAAGGUUUUUAUUCAGAAGUGGCUGUGUAUGCGAAAUAUAGGUUUCUGGAUCCACAGGGAAAUUUCUGGAUUCCUUGUAGUUCUGUCAGACAUGUUCCUAAUUCCUGCUGGGUCUUGUGAGGGAAAAGACUAUCUGAUAGCUCUUCUGUACUGUGCUAGGGACCAUCCCCUCCCUCAUUAGCCCUGAAAUAUCAAAAAUGGAAAGGUCUCCACUUAAUGACAUUCCCAGUUGUGCAACAAGCCUGUGGAGAAGGGAGCAUGCUGCAUCCAUCAAGGAGAGGAGGUCAUGGCUGUUCAACAGUUUUACUAGAAAACCAGUGAUUUGAAAGGCUGAGGGAGGGUGAGCUGAUAGUAAAUAGUGCUUAAUGAGGCACUUGCCUCCCAAGAUGAUCUUCAGGUUGUCCUGUCAGUGAUUUGCACUCUGACUCUGCACAUGCCUUUUUACCUACUGCCUGUGAAGCCGAGAUUGCCACAUGCAAGUUGUGUGAAAUGACCUUCAUGCCAUCUCCUGCUAUCACAGGCUCUGUGUCAGCCACUCAUUGAGAGCUGUUAUAGGCUUUCAGCACUAUUAUGGGGGCAGUUUCUGGAUGGUACUUUCAAGAUCAGGUGAGCAAUAAAGCCUGGCAGCUUGUUCAGAGGGUUGUGCUCAGGGGGAUCGGCACAUCUGAAAGCGUUGUGACAGAAAUGGGUCAGUGACCAGAGCACGAGCAGAGGGUCACAGCAGGGAGUUUGUCCUGGCUUUGCACUGCUACAUGAACACUAGCCCAGACAGUAUUGUAUGCAGUAGUCUGAAAACAUUCCUACUGAAGCUGAAAAUAUUUCUACUGAUUUCAAGGAAAUUUUUAAACAAAAAUGGAAUAUUAAUUCAUUCAUUCAUUAAAAUUCAUGAGGUAUGAGGUAAAAAAGUUUCCUGGAUGUAAUUCUUCUGAAGAUGGUAGUUUUGGACCUUUGCACACUUUGAACCUUUCAAUUAUCUCUGCACAAUAUAAGAUGUAAAAUGAAAACUGCUUUUCUGUCCACUUCCAAGUGUUUUUUUUAAGGUCUUUAUCUUGAGUUGAAAAUGACAAGUCAUUUUAGAAGAGCAGCAUCUGGUGUGAAGCAACUGCCAAUUUAAUAUUUCUUUAAUAUAUUUGGA